ACUGUACCACAUUUUUUUUUUGAGUUACCGGACAAAUAUCAUCCCUCAAAAUAAUCACAGAACUGAGGUGACCAUAGUGACGAGAGCAUUGGCUUUUGAAGCAGGCUGUGUCAUCACAAACUAGCAAAUAUCUGGUCUCUUAAAAUGAGAACCUGCUUCCAGGAGGUUUUCCUGCUUUUCUGAGACCUAAAAUAUGAAGUGUCAUCCUCAAAUUCCAUUACAACAUAUCCAGGUUACAAAAGCAAGGUGAAAAGCACAUUAUCAGAAAAUGAUGCUGUACAACUGUUUAUAACUGGGGUGUAUUCCACCUAGCCUGCUCCAAAGGUAGCACAACUGAGUGGAAAUCAGUGGAAAAGAAGAGUUUUCCUUCUAGGAAACACAUAUGAGCAAUGAGGAGGUAAUUUUAGGUCACUUUUUCCUGCUAGCGUGUAUAGGUCUUGGUCAGAUUUUCAGUUUGUUUUGGGUGGUGGACAGUGUUGUGCCGUUUCUGCUCGGUGUUUGCUUCUGCCUACCCGUCAGUGAGUAUAUGAACAGGUCUGGCUGCUGCUACCGGCUGCUAAUUCAGCUCAAUUGACAUGGAAAAGGAAAUGAUAAUGAGAAGUCUUCAAGUACAGGGGGAUUAUGAUGACUAAAAAUUUCUAGGGAAACUUACUUAAAAUGUAAGAGCUGAGUACAGGUAAUCUGUAAGGAACAUUCUCUGGUGGAAUAAGCAAACAUGGGGAAGCAACCAGCAGUCCUUGGUGGGGAGCAAGAGCCUGCAGGUGUAGAUCCUGCGGCAAACACAUCUGAAGAGCGCUGCAGGGAGUUUACAGCCUCUCCAGGUCUAGGUAUGUGCUGCCUACCAGCUCCCUGCAGGCAUUAGAGGAGGAGAGUCCCUACUCCCAAGAAACAAGACUUCUAGAUGAGGCUUUGAGCAACCUGAUCCAGUGUCCCUGCCUGUGGGAGGGGGGUUGGAAGCAAAUGAUCUUUAAGGUCCCUUCCAACCCAAACCAUUCUACUAUUUUAUCAUCUCCAGGACGCUGCUUUUAGUAACCCCCUUUGCCAGCAUGCUGCUUUCGGCAACUAUUUUGAAAGGCAUUUAGAAGGUUCAUAUACUGGGUAUUCUGUCCAUGACGGCUAAAUGGCCAACAGUGACUGAUUUAUGUCUCCUUUAAGUCCAACUUGUGUAAUUUUGCAUUGCACUUAUGUCUUCGAGGGCAGUAGAAGUAUUUACACAAAACUGAAGAUGGAGUUCAGUCGGAAAAUUGAACGAGAACUGCAAGUGUGCGGCUGCAUCUAAUGCUUUCCACUACAUUAGUUACACAAAUUCAGGGACAAAUGCAAGAUUCUUGUUUAAGAAAGCAUUACUGGAAGUGCACAAAAGAAAACGAUACUUUUUAAUGACUCUCAAAUUAGUUUCUUGUGUAGCCAUCACUUAUUACCAUCCAGAAAUAGUCUUAUGAGUCGUAUUUCAACACAAUUUGGAGCAGCCUGGUUUCACUUCUAAAAGAAUCUCUGACAGUAAUUAUGACACAAACAUGUAGUAAUUAUCAUCUAGCAUGCUGUUAGACUUCCUGAGAUGUUUCUUACUUAUUUUGGGAAAUGGAUGUAACUCCUUUGUCUGUCCCUCUCUCGUUUUGUCCCUCGAGCUAACAGGGAAUGAGAGAAGAUUCACCUGAAGUCUUCCUUUGGAUGAUAUCAGUUUGAAUUUAUAACCAGCCUUCGGUCACAGCAAAAUACAUCUCAGGGCUGCUGAGGUUCUGCUGCACAGUGCUUCAUUCACUCGGAGCAUCUCGUCCAAGAAUCUGGAACAUCGCUCUUUAAAUGGAAUUCAUUCCUCCUGCCGGUUAACUGCCACUUCAGCGGUUCUGUUUCCAUGCAGGCCAGGUUGGAUGAGGCUUUGAGCAACCUGAUCCAGUGGGAGAUGUCCCCCCUCAUGGCAGUGAGUUGGAACUGGAUGAUCUUUGAUGUCACUUCCAACCCAAACCAGUCGAUGAUUCUAUGACAUGGAAAGAGGAGGCUGUAAAGGGCCUGUGAACCUAAUGCCCUGUAACUGGGAGACUUGGACAGCUUGACGGAAGUUGAGGCCAACAAGUUCCUCCAGAUCUAGGUCUGAGUGCAGGCAAAGUUGCUGAGACUGCUGGAGGGACCAGAACAAGUGUUCACAGUCCUGAGCCGGCUGCUCACCACCACCUGUCUUCCCUGGAAUGGCUGGACCCUCCUGAAGGAGCUUCUGCACACGCACGGCAAGACCACCUCCACAUGUUGAUGGGGCACAGACUGGCCUUGUAAAAGAUCUUGCGAGGAUCCAUGUGUGUGGGUGCCCGUCACUGCAGUUGGACCCCCCUGGACCACGCUGCCUGGAAGAAGCUGCUGCUGGAGAGACCGCAUGUUCCCAAGGAAUUGCUGUUGCUCAUUGGAAUGCAUUGUCUUUUCCUGUACAUGAACUUACAUUUGAUGCCAGCGAGGGGUCUACUAAAUCUUUGUGUCAGAGGGGAGAGGACAGCUGAGAUCUGUACACCAG